ACGCACGCUGGCGGCGUGCUUCACCCAUGCAAGUCGAACGGUGAAGCUCCAGCUUGCUGGAGUGGAUCAGUGGCGAACGGGUGAGUAACACGUGAGCAACCUGCCCCUGACUCUGGAAUAAGCGCUGGAAACGGCGUCUAAUACUGGAUACGAGAAGGGUCCGCAUGGGCACUUUCUGGAAAGUUUUUCGGUUGGGGAUGGGCUCGCGGCCUAUCAGCUUGUUGGUGAGGUAAUGGCUCACCAAGGCGACGACGGGUAGCCGGCCUGAGAGGGCGACCGGCCACACUGGGACUGAGACACGGCCCAGACUCCUACGGGAGGCAGCAGUGGGGAAUAUUGCACAAUGGGCGAAAGCCUGAUGCAGCGACGCCGCGUGAGGGAUGACGGCCUUCGGGUUGUAAACCUCUUUCAGCAGGGAAGAAGCGAAAGUGACGGUACCUGCAGAAGAAGCACCGGCUAACUACGUG
rnacentral:rRNA from 1 species